rnacentral:rRNA from 1 species
GACGAACCGUGCGAACGUUGUUCGGAAUCACUGGGCUUAAAGGGCGCGUAGGCGGGCAGGCAAGUCAGGGGUGAAAGCCCACGGCUCAACCGUGGAAGUGCCUUUGAUACUGCUUGUCUUGAGGGAGGUAGGGGCGUGCGGAACUUCCGGUGGAGCGGUGAAAUGCGUAGAUAUCGGAAGGAACACCGGUGGCGAAAGCGGCGCGCUGGACCUCUACUGACGCUGAGGCGCGAAAGCCAGGGGAG